GUUAAUCGUACUAUAUAUAACAUUAUUUUAAAAUUUCAAAAAGUUUAUCACAUACAAAAAACCAUCAAUAAAAAAUAUAAUUCUCCAUCUACAACAAGAAAAAUGAAAAACUAUAAACAUAUAAAUUUAAAUUAAGAAAAACUAACAUUGAAAAGACAAGAAGUUAAUGUAAAAGAAAAAACCGACAAAUAAUAUUAUAAAUAAUAUAAAUUUAUAAGACACAAUCCGCGCGAAGCGCGGAAAAAAUCUCUAGUAUUUAUAAGUACAAGAUUGAAAUUUGUUCUUCCUAUCCAUGAUAGAAAAGAGGAGAAUAAACACCAAACACCAA
rnacentral:lncRNA from 1 species